UAAAGGUGUAAGCAAGUUAUGGUCAAGUG
rnacentral:piRNA from 1 species